rnacentral:rRNA from 1 species
UGGGGAAUAUUGCACAAUGGGGGAAACCCUGAUGCAGCGACGCCGCGUGAGCGAAGAAGGCUUUCGAGUCGUAAAGCUCUGUCCUAUGAGAAGAUAAUGACGGUAUCAUAGGAGGAAGCCCUGGCUAAAUACGUGCCAGCAGCCGCGGUAAUACGUAUGGGGCGAGCGUUGUCCGGAAUUAUUGGGCGUAAAGGGUACGUAGGCGGUUUUUUAAGUCAGGUGUCAAAGCGUGGAGCUUAACUCCAUUAAGCACUUGAAACUGAAAGACUUGAGUGAAGGAGAGGAAAGUGGAAUUCCUAGUGUAGCGGUGAAAUGCGUAGAUAUUAGGAGGAAUACCGGUGGCGAAGGCGGCUAUCUGGACAGUAACUGACGCUGAGGCGCGAAAGCGUGGGGAGCAAACAGG